rnacentral:tRNA from 1 species
GGGCCGUUAGUUCAGUUGGUAGAAUGCGUCUCUCCUAAAGAUGAGGUCCUGGGUUCGAGCCCCAGGCGGCCCU